CAGGUAACACGAAAUCGUACCCCAAACCGACACAGGUGGUCAGGUAGAGAAUACCAAGGCGCUUGAGAGAACUCGGGUGAAGGAACUAGGCAAAAUGGUGCCGUAACUUCGGGAGAAGGCACGCUGACAUGUAGGUGAAGCCCCUGCGGGUGGAGCUGAAGUCAGUCGAAGAUACCAGCUGGCUGCAACUGUUUAUUAAAAACACAGCACUGUGCAAACACGAAAGUGGACGUAUACGGUGUGACGCCUGCCCGGUGCCGGAAGGUUAAUUGAUGGGGUUAUCGCAAGAGAAGCUCCUGAUCGAAGCCCCGGUAAACGGCGGCCGUAACUAUAACGGUCCUAAGGUAGCGAAAUUCCUUGUCGGGUAAGUUCCGACCUGCACGAAUGGCGUAAUGAUGGCCAGGCUGUCUCCACCCGAGACUCAGUGAAAUUGAACUCGCUGUGAAGAUGCAGUGUACCCGCGGCAAGACGGAAAGACCCCGUGAACCUUUACUACAGCUUGACACUGAACAUUGAGCCUUGAUGUGUAGGAUAGGUGGGAGGCUUUGAAGCGUGGACGCCAGUCUGCGUGGAGCCAACCUUGAAAUACCACCCUUUAAUGUUUGAUGUUCUAACCUGGCGCCAUAAUCUGGCGUGGGGACAGUGUCUGGUGGGUAGUUUGACUGGGGCGGUCUCCUCCCAAAGUGUAACGGAGGAGCACGAAGGUCAGCUAAUCCUGGUCGGACAUCAGGAGGUUAGUGCAAUGGCAUAAGCUGGCUUGACUGCGAGAGUGACGGCUCGAGCAGGUGCGAAAGCAGGUCAUAGUGAUCCGGUGGUUCUGUAUGGAAGGGCCAUCGCUCAACGGAUAAAAGGUACUCCGGGGAUAACAGGCUGAUACCGCCCAAGAGUUCAUAUCGACGGCGGUGUUUGGCACCUCGAUGUCGGCUCAUCACAUCCUGGGGCUGAAGUAGGUCCCAAGGGUAUGGCUGUUCGCCAUUUAAAGUGGUACGCGAGCUGGGUUUAGAACGUCGUGAGACAGUUCGGUCCCUAUCUGCCGUGGGCGCUGGAGAAUUGAGGGGGGCUGCUCCCAGUACGAGAGGACCGGAGUGGACGCAUCACUGGUGUUCGGGUUGUCAUGCCAAUGGCACUGCCCGGUAGCUAAAUGCGGAAGAGAUAAGUGCUGAAAGCAUCUAAGCACGAAACUUGCCCCGAGAUGAGUUCUCCCUGACUCCUUGAGAGUCCUGAAGGAACGUUGAAGACGACGACGUUGAUAGGCCGGGUGUGUAAGCGCAGCGAUGCGUUGAGCUAACCGGUACUAAUGAACCGUGAGGCUUAACCUU
rnacentral:rRNA from 1 species